UACGGAGGGGGCUAGCGUUGUUCGGAAUUACUGGGGCGUAAAGAGCGCGCAGGCGGUCGAUCAAGUCGAGUGUGAAAGCCCCCGGCUCAACUGGGGAGGGUCAUUCGAUACUGAUCGACUCGAAGGCAGGAGAGGGUAGUGGAAUUCCCGGUGUAGUGGUGAAAUGCGUAGAUAUCGGGAGGAACACCAGUGGCGAAGGCGACUACCUGGCCUGUUCUUGACGCUGAGGCGCGAAAGCUAGGGGAGCAAAGCGGGG
rnacentral:rRNA from 1 species